GAUGAACGCUGGCGGCGUGCCUAAUACAUGCAAGUCGAGCGAACAGACGAGGAGCUUGCUCCUCUGACGUUAGCGGCGGACGGGUGAGUAACACGUGGAUAACCUACCUAUAAGACUGGGAUAACUUCGGGAAACCGGAGCUAAUACCGGAUAAUAUAUUGAACCGCAUGGUUCAAUAGUGAAAGACGGUUUUGCUGUCACUUAUAGAGGGAUCCGCGCCUCAUUAGCUAGUUGGUAAGGUAACGGCUUACCAAGGCGACGAUGCGUAGCCGACCUGAGAGGGUGAUCGCCCACCCUGGAACUGAGACACGGUCCAGACUCCUACGGGAGGCAGCAGUAGGGAAUCUUCCGCAAUGGGCGAGAGCCUGACGGAGCAACGCCGCGUGAGUGAUGAAGGUCUUCGGAUCGUAAAACUCUGUUAUUAGGGAAGAACAAAUGUGUAAGUAACUAUGCACGUCUUGACGGUACCUAAUCAGAAAGCAACGGCUAACUACGUG
rnacentral:rRNA from 1 species